rnacentral:pre_miRNA from 1 species
UGUACAUGCAACCCUUUUUUACUCUCUUCCAAAGGCUUCAAGCUGCUAUAUGAAAACAAUCAUAGUUCGAAGUCUUGGAAGAGAGUAAAGAAAAGUUGUCAUGAUUUU